rnacentral:lncRNA from 1 species
CUGAUUUCUUGCCGGCGUCUGUCAUCUCCCCGAGAGUCUGCUCUAGCGAACGCCCUCUCGAGCCGUAGGCGCCUUCCGUUCCUCGCUCCCCAGGCCCCCAGAGCAGGAUAGGUUAGUGCCCACCUUCUCCUUCUUACCGCUUAGGGUCCUCUCCUCCUUCCUCUUCUUUCGUGUCCUCUCCUGAGUUGAACUUCUGGCGUCCCCCUCCUUUCUCGGCUUGCAUUUCUAGGGCCCUUUAGGUUCUCCCCGAAAGAAAAAUGUCUUCCGAUUCUUCUUCCCCCGUAAGCUCUGGGAGCUCUUCUGCUUCAAACCCCCAGGCCCCUGUCUCUGCGGACGAACCCGCGUUUGGGGCAGGGUCUCGCCCGGUCUUCGCACCGGGCGCUAUUCCUUGUUUGUCGACUCCGGACGAACUUCUCCUGAUAAGGGCUUGAUACGGGGUCCCUUCAGAGUACGAUCUGGAGCUUCCUGGCCCCUCCGGCC